rnacentral:rRNA from 1 species
AUGGUAUGUACUGGCUUUACUGAUUCCUCCUUCUUGAAGAACUGUAAUGUCAUUAAUUUGGUGUUGCAGGGAAACAGGACUGUUACUUUGAAAAAAUUAGAGUCGUUUAAAGCAGGCUAACGCUUGAAUACAUUAGCAUGGAAUAAUGAAAUAGGACGUUCGAUCCUAUUUUGUUGGUUUCUAGGAUUGACGUAAUGAUUAAUAGGGAUAGUUGGGGGCAUUAGUAUUCAAUUGUCAGAGGUGAAAUCCUUGGAUUUAUUGAAGACUAACUACUGCGAAAGCAUUUGCCAAGGAUGUUUUCAUUAAUCAAGAACGAAAGUUAGGGGAUCGAAGACGAUCAGAUACCGUCGUAGUCUUAACCAUAAACUAUGCCGACUAGGGAUCGGAUGAUGUUAAUUUUUUAAUGACUCAUUCGGCGCCUUACG